CAUUGUUGCAUGUUUGAUGUUUGCUCUGGUAGUCGGAAUGCUGAAGUUUAAAGAAUUAGUAGAGGCUUCUAUUGUGGUUCUCAUAUGUCAAAGAGCAUCAAAGCAUGCCUGCCCACUUUCAGUCCCAACUGAUUUGCUACUGGACUACUUGUUGAGGAGACAUUGUCUGGUGCACCAGUCCAUACAGAUAAGGAGCCUCCUUAUUGUUGAAACAAAGGCACUUAGACAUUGGUGAAGCCGAAUUUUCUAGAUUCCAUUCUGGUACCAAACGCGGUGAUAUUGUUGGUGUCACUGGAAUUCCAGGUUGGUUGGUUUUCAUUUAUGUUCUUCAAU